rnacentral:lncRNA from 1 species
AACAAGUUUUAGUUCUUCUGCUAUUACAUUCUCUAAAUCAAAUAAUUGUUUAGAAGAUCAGAGGUUCUUAGGAUGUUGUCUUACGUUAUAACAUCUGCCAGUAUGAAGACAAUAAUACUUGCAUUAAAGGAUAGGCAUGAAACAAGUAUCCUAGAUUCUGCUAUGCUGAAUUUGCAAUGACUUGAAGCAAGACUCUAUUUAUGAGUCAACUAGGUUGGCAAUUUAUUGUUUUGGUACUGCGUGUGUUGUUAGGUGAAAUCUGGUACUGCCUGUGUUGUUAGGUGAAAUCUGUGUCUGAUGAGUUAGGCAAAUGAUGCGCCAAUGACUAUGAAUUAUUUUGGCACGAAGUUUAAGAAAGUAAUAUAGACUUUUGAAUUUUGUGAUUUUAGACUAAAAAUAUAUAUAAUGUACACAAUUUGAUCUUACACGUCAUAUAAAAAGUUAAAAUUAAAGAGUCACUAAAAAAGUGAAGACGCUUUUUUUUUAAACGAACUAAAAGGAAAGUAGUACAAAUAAAUUGAAAUUGAGGGAGUAAAAUAUGUUCUAUUACUCUGUAAGGAUGUUAUAUUUAGCUGAUUUCGGUUUGUUUGUGUCAUUAACAUGUGUAUAUGGCUGUUUUCUGCUCAAUUAGCCAUACAAAUUUGUUACUUUAUAGUUGUUAUGAAUAUUGUCUAUGUAAUACUUAUAACACUAAUAAAUUUAAAUGUUGUCUAUGUGACAUUCCACUCGUGAUUGACUUUAUUUUUGUUAUUAUGUUUAAGUUGUUAAUCAAAUGGUGGUCUACAGUAACAAGUAUAUCUCUUUUUCCUUAGCUAAAAGAUGUGUUGAAUUGGAAGGAAGAUAAUAAAAAAGAAGAAGAUUAAGUUAGAGCCAUAAGAUUGGACUGAUUAGUUUUUGUGUAAGACGACAAUAUGUUGUUCCCAAUUCAUUUUAAAUGCCCAAAGGUUCUGGUACAUGAUAGCAUUUGUUCAAUUGUUUUAAAGUGGCACAUACUUCAACUUAAAUGUGUUAGUUGUUUCACACAACUAUCUGUGUGUACUUAAAUAGCACACGUACUUUAUCUACAAUUUCUCAGGUAUUUAAUUACUUGCUUGCGACUUGCUUGUGUUCCUUAUAUUCCAUAUAUACACACCAUUGCUUGAGAUACUAUUACAUGAUGGAGGACUUAUAAGUACAGGUAAAAUAGAUAACAUUAGAGUAAUUAAAAAGACAAAUCUUCUCUCUUUUUCUUUAGACAAAUAAAAUAUAUACAUGGUAAUGAGUGCAACAUCUGGACAAGCUGAAAUGAAGAGGAGAACAAAUGUUUUCCGAAGGCAAUGAUUAGCAUCUGAUUACUAAUUUGGGUAAAUUGAUGCGUUCUUCUGGAUUUAUGUUAAUGCUCAUUGAUUGUAUCUGCUCGUGUUCAUCUCUUUUAUUAUUUGAUAAUAAUAUACUAUAUAAACUGAAGUUCUCAGUAAUUGAGCCAAACAAAAGUUCAAAUUCUUUGCACAUUGAAUGCCAACUUUUUUUCCAUCUCUGUUUCAAUAACAAUUUUACUACAGGCAACCAAGUAGAGCAAUGUAUAUGGAAUAACCUUUUCUGUUUUCUUUUAAGAUGAUUUAGCAUUAUAAUGUUUUCCCUACUAUUCAGUUCCUAAAAAUAUGGGGGUGGGGAAUCAAUUUCAAAAAUGGAUUGAAGAAAAAUUGAUCAUGAUUUCUUUGGGAACGCUUCUGUGAUUGUUUUUUUAAAUCCAAUUGUUCAUGCAGCUUAUAGGUAUUAAUGAUAACGAUGUCUAUGGAAGGUGAUNNNN